GACGAACGCUGGCGGCGUGCCUAAUACAUGCAAGUAGAACGCACAGUUUAUACCGUAGCUUGCUACACCAUAGACUGUGAGUUGCGAACGGGUGAGUAACGCGUAGGUAACCUGCCUGGUAGCGGGGGAUAACUAUUGGAAACGAUAGCUAAUACCGCAUAAUAUUAAUUAUUGCAUGAUAAUUAAUUGAAAGGUGCAAUUGCACCACUACCAGAUGGACCUGCGUUGUAUUAGCUAGUAGGUGAGGUAACGGCUCACCUAGGCGACGAUACAUAGCCGACCGGAGAGGGUGAUCGGCCACACUGGGACUGAGACACGGCCCAGACUCCUACAGGAGGCAGCAGUAGGGAAUCGUCAGCAAUGGACGAAAGUCUGACCGAGCAACGCCGCGUGAGUGAAGAAGGUUUUCGGAUCGUAAAGCUCUGUUGUAAGAGAAGAACGGGUGUGAGAGUGGAAAGUUCACACUGUGACGGUAUCUUACCAGAAAGGGACGGCUAACUACGUG
rnacentral:rRNA from 1 species